rnacentral:rRNA from 1 species
GCAAGUCGAGGGGUAACAGGAGAGCUUGCUCUCGCUGACGACCGGCGCACGGGUGAGUAACACGUAUGCAACCUGCCUUUAACUGGAGCAUAGCUCCGAGAAAUCAAAAUUAAUACUCCAUAAUAUCUAUUUAUCGCAUAAUAGUUAGAUUAAAGCUUCGGCGGUUAAAGAUGGGCAUGCGGAACAUUAGCUUGUUGGUUGAGGUAACGGCUCACCAAGGCUACGAUGUUUAUGGGGUCUUAAAGGAUGGUC